rnacentral:rRNA from 1 species
UGGGGAAUUUUGGACAAUGGGCGCAAGCCUGGUCCAGCCAUGCCGCGUGCGGGAAGAAGGCCUUCGGGUUGUAAACCGCUUUUGUCAGGGAAGAAAUCUUCUGAGUUAAUACCUCGGGAGGAUGACGGUACCUGAAGAAUAAGCACCGGCUAACUACGUGCCAGCAGCCGCGGUAAUACGUAGGGUGCAAGCGUUAAUCGGAAUUACUGGGCGUAAAGCGUGCGCAGGCGGUUUUGUAAGACAGAGGUGAAAUCCCCGGGCUCAACCUGGGAACUGCCUUUGUGACUGCAAGGCUUGAGUGCGGCAGAGGGGGAUGGAAUUCCGCGUGUAGCAGUGAAAUGCGUAGAUAUGCGGAGGAACACCGAUGGCGAAGGCAAUCCCCUGGGCCUGCACUGACGCUCAUGCACGAAAGCGUGGGGAGCAAACAGGAUUAGAUACCCUGGUAGUCCACGCCCUAAACGAUGUCAACUGGUUGUUGGGAAGGUUCCUUCUCAGUAACGUAGCUAACGCGUGAAGUUGACCGCCUGGGGAGUACGGCCGCAAGGUUGAAACUAAAGGAAUUG